rnacentral:rRNA from 1 species
GAAUAUUGGACAUUGGGGGGAACCCUGAUCCAGCCAUGCCGCGGGUGUGAAGAAGCCUUUUGGGUUGUAAAGCAUUUAAACCGAGGAGGAGGCUACUCUGGUUAUUACCUAGGGAUGGGGACGGUUACUGGCGGAAUAGGCACGGGCUACCUCUGUCCCAGCAGCCGCGGUAAUACAGAGGGUGCAAGCGUUAAUCGGAUUUACUGGGCGUAAAGCGCGCGUAGGUGGCCAAUUAAGUCAAAUGUGAAAUCCCCGAGCUUAACUUGGGAAUUGCAUUCGAUACUGGUUGGCUAGAGUAUGGAGAGGAUGGUAGAAUUCCAGGUGUAGCGGUGAAAUGCGUAGAGAUCUGGAGGAAUACCGAUGGCGAAGGCAGCCAUCUGGCCUAAUACUGACACUGAGGUGCGAAAGCAUGGGGAGCAAACA